GAAAUGCGAUAAGUAAUGUGAAUUGCAGAAUUCAGUGAAUCAUCGAAUCUUUGAACGCACAUUGCGCCCGCCAGUAUUCUGGCGGGCAUGCCUGUUCGAGCGUCAUUACAACCCUCAGGCCCCGGGUCUGGCGUUGGGGAUCGGCGGAAGCCCCCUGCGGGCACAACGCCGUCCCCCAAAUACAGUGGCGGUCCCGCCGCAGCUUCCAUUGCGUAGUAGCUAACACCUCGCAACUGGAGAGCGGCGCGGCCACGCCGUAAAACACCCAACUUCUGAAUGUUGACCUCGAAUCAGGUAGGAAUACCCGCUGAACUUAAGC
rnacentral:misc_RNA from 1 species